rnacentral:rRNA from 1 species
UAGGGAAUCUUCCACAAUGGACGCAAGUCUGAUGGAGCAACGCCGCGUGAGUGAAGAAGGUCUUCGGAUCGUAAAGCUCUGUUGUUGGUGAAGAAGGAUAGAGGCAGUAACUGGUCUUUAUUUGACGGUAAUCAACCAGAAAGUCACGGCUAACUACGUGCCAGCAGCCGCGGUAAUACGUAGGUGGCAAGCGUUGUCCGGAUUUAUUGGGCGUAAAGCGAGCGCAGGCGGAAUGAUAAGUCUGAUGUGAAAG